UCAUACCACACAGCUGCCAUCAGACCAAGCCUUGGAAGAAGAAGUCACCUCUCUCAAAGUAGUGGCAGCCAUCUUGUCUCCAGGGAUUUUGCAGGCCAAAAUGAGUUCACUCCAGCUGGGAGUGCAGAAAACAAGUUUUAACCAUCAACAAGUCACCACUGUGUCUGUAGCCUCUGGAGAUAGCCUGUCUAUUUGGCCAUUUCACUGGAGCAGACUCUGGAGCAAGGUGCAGGAGGCUGGCCUAACCCAGGGAUGCUUGGCAUCUUGGUAGACCCAGCCAGUGUCCUCACAUAGAAACCUGCCAAGGCACUGAUUCCUUCAAGGUCACCAAAAGAUUUUGUUCCCUUCUUAAGACAAAUCACUUUAACAGCUACAGGAAGGGUUCCUGCCUCCAGGUCCCUGGCCUUCUUGCGUUCCUGUCCUGCCCUCCCUUCAUGGCAGACUGUCAUCAGGACACAUAAGCCAAAUAAACCUCUC